GACCCAAAUCACCAAACUAGUUCGGAAUAUCGACUUCCUGCUCUUUCCCUCAAAAUUUCUAGCUUUCCGUCUCCACAACCAUCAUACCAUCUCCACUCAUAUUUUAAAUCUCAAACCAAAAACCUCCUUUCCAUCUCCUUUUCAAACCAAAAAUUUUCUUCCCAUCUCCUUCUCGGCCAACCUUCAACUUGAUGGCUCCGAAAAUAC
rnacentral:lncRNA from 1 species